CAACCUCUUCGUCAAUUGAUUGGAGGAAGUGAAUGUCCAUCAGGGUCACGACAUUCUCGCGGUAAGGAGAGGCGAAAUCGGAAAGACGACUUCCCUCCGAAGGGUAGACGGGCCUACUGGGAUACUGCUGGAGGACUGGGUCAGUCGCUGGGCGGGGUUUUCGCAGCUCCGCGGAACGCCGGGAAGGGGUCACGUCCAGAUGAGGGUUCCGGUUCCGGUGCAGACGGCGGCAGCGGCGUUGCCACGGCAGCGCGGUGGACAGGUACCUGGGUGGUGGGCUCGGCGGUGUUGGAGGAGUUGGAGUUGGAGUUGGCCUCGGUCCUGCGUUGUCCGCUUAGUCAUUGAUUCCAGGUAAAUCAGAGGAACGGACAUCAUGAACAGAAAUAAUACAGGAAGUGAUGUGAUGUGGAAGUUGAACUGUUGUUCCAGAAGUCCAGCGUCUGUGGCACGUAACAUUAGGGACUGUAUCAUUUGCAUGGUCACCUAACUUUGACUUAUAUUGGGUUGGCCAGAAAGUUCAUUCGGUUUCCCUGUAAGCUGGGGAAACCCGCACGAACUUUUUGGCCAACCCAAUACUUAGAGUAAGUUUUGUUUUGUUUUACUUUAAUAAAUAUUGACAGUUUGUUCCAGAAAACCUAAAUUGUUCAUUGCCUGCUCUAAGCUGCCUGAUUCUCUUCUUGUGUUCACUGGAAUAGGGAGAAGAAUUUGCAAACCGAUUAUGAGAGUCCGAAAUGUAAAACUGGGUCAUGGGGGGUAGCCUGUUGUUUCCCUGGUGUGUAAUACUGGCUUUGCCAGUACAAUUGACAGACAUUUUAUUAAAUUGAGAAUAUAGCUGUCAUUAAAGACUAAGAAUAAUCCUUGAGCAGGAAGAAUAUGAACUCUAUGUUUUCCAAACUUACGGUAGAGUUGCUGGUUAUAGUCAAGUAUGGUGAGACUGUCUGUGAAAGGCAAGGAUACGGAAAAGCAAGCGGGGGUUCUUUCAAAGAGCGAAGUGGGAUGGCUUUGAUAGGAUGAUGAAGGGAAAGAGAUCAUGUAUCUACACCAAAGAAAUUGAAACAAUACACCUAAAUUUAAGUUUUUAAUAAAGAGACCUAAAAUAUAAAA